UGACUGCUAUCGGAUUGAUACUAAGCCAUGCGAGUCAUUGUAGCAAUACAAGGCAGACGGCUCAGUAACGCGUAGUCAAUCUACCCUAUGGACGGGAAUAACCUCGGGAAACUGAGAAUAAUGCCCGAUAGAACAUUAUGCCUGGAAUGGUUUAUGUUUCAAAUGAUUUAUCGCCAUAGGAUGGGACUGCGGCCUAUCAGUUUGUUGGUGAGGUAAUGGCCCACCAAGACUAUUACAGGUACGGGCUCUGAGAGGAGUAGCCCGGAGAUGGGUACUGAGACACGGACCCAGGCCCUAUGGGGCGCAGCAGGCGAGAAAACUUUGCAAUGUGCGAAAGCACGACAAGGUUAAUCCGAGUGGUUUCUGCUAAAGAAACCUUUUGUCAGUCCUAGAAACACUAACGAAUAAGGGGUGGGCAAGUUCUGGUGUCAGCCGCCGCGGUAAAACCAGCACCUCAAGUGGUCAGGAUGAUUAUUGGGCCUAAAGCAUCCGUAGCUCGUUUUGUAAGUUUUCGGUUAAAUCCAUGCGCUUAACGUAUGGGCUGCCGGGAAUACUGCAUAACUAGGAAGUGGGAGAGGUAGACGGUACUCGGGAGGAAGGGGUAAAAUCCUUUGAUCUCUUGAUGACCACCUGUGGCGAAGGCGGUCUACCAGAACACGUUCGACGGUGAGGGAUGAAAGCUGGGGGAGCAAACCGGAUUAGAUACCCGGGUAGUCCCAGCUGUAAACUAUGCAAACUCAGUGAUGCAUUGGCUUAUGGCCAAUGCAGUGCUGCAGGGAAGCCGUUAAGUUUGCCGCCUGGGAAGUACGUACGCAAGUAUGAAACUUAAAGGAAUUGGCGGGGGAGCACCACAAGGGGUGAAGCCUGCGGUUCAAUUGGAUCAACGCC
rnacentral:rRNA from 1 species